rnacentral:lncRNA from 1 species
UCUGAGGGUGCAAGUAUGCCGAGGCCAGCAGAUAGGAAGGCUGUGGAGAGAGGACGGAAGUGUGGGCCCCACGCAUCACCCAGCCAGCUCUUAUCCUUCAGGCUGCACCUAUAUGCCUCUUCCUCCAGGAAGCCCUCCCUGACUGCCAGGGCUGUGUUCUCACAGGAUCCCCCACUCAGCAUCACUCUGUGAGAGUCUUGCUCUGUCACCCAGGCCGGAUGGAUCUCGGCUCACUGCAACCUCUGCCUCCCUGGUUCAAAAGAUUCUCCUGCCUCAGCCUCCCGAGUAGCUGGGAUUACAGGCGUGCAUCAUCAUGCCUGGCUAAUUUUUGUAUUUUUAUUAGAGACGGGAUUUCACCAUGUUGUCUAGGCUUGUCUCGAACUCCUGACCUCAGGUGAUUUGCCCACCUCAGCCUCCCAAAGUGCUGGGGUUACAGGCGUGAGCCAUCAUGCCCAGCCUAGAAUUACCAUAUGAUCCAGCAAUUCCACUUCUGGGUCUAUACCAGAAAGAAUUGAAAGAAGGAACUCAAACAGAUAUUUGCACACCCAUGUUCUUAUGAGCAUUAUUCACAAUAGCUGAGAAGUGGAAGCAACCCAGUGUCCAUUGGAAAAUGAAUGGAUGAACAAAAUGGGGUCCAUCCGUGCAAGGUAAUAGUAUCCAGCCUUAACAGGGAAGAACAUUCUGACACAUGCUGCAACAUGGAUGAGUCCUGAAGAUGCUGUUACACGAAAUGAGCCAGACACCAAAGGACAAAUACCAUAUGAUUCUACUCAUAGGCCGUACGUGGUGAGGCCAAAUCAUAGAAACAGAAAGUAGAAUGGUGGUUGCCAGGGGCUGGGGAGGAGGAGAUGGAGAGUUGUUGUUUCAUAAGGACAGAAUAUCAGUUCUGCAAGAUGCAAAAUGUUCUAGAGAUGGAUGCUAAUGAUGGUUGCACAACAGUGUUGUUAGAAAUGCUUGUUUUCCGGUGCCGUAAAGAAAUAGCACUUGAACAUAAAUUUAAUUUCCUCAGCAAGGCCAUUUUUUUUUACUUUUUGCAGAAAGGGUACACUCGCCAGCAGCUUUGCCAUGAGAGUACACCGAACAAAGGAGACAGGGUCAUUUAUAACCUGACGUGUCCACCCUACUGCUGUGUCUGGUUCCCAUUGGCCGGAACGGGACCUCACAUUCUGUAUUUGUCCUGAUUGGCUAGUAACUUAGAACUUUUAAAACUGGCAAAGGCAGAGGAGAACAAAGGAAGGAGGAAGUAACUUAUAGAAUGCUGAGAAAGGUAAAAACACCUUCAAAUAAGGAAGAGGAACAGGCUAUGACCUAAUGUUUGCUUGGACCAAUAUAAGCAUGCUAGGGCAAAUAUUUAGGCUAAAUUGUGGGAGCUAAGAACAUAAAAUAUAUUGAUUUUUUUUUAUUAUUGUUAGCAGAUAUUUAAGAAUGUUAGUACAGGUCUUUGAAUAAAUUUUGCUUCUAAGAGAAGUUAUUAUUUAUUCUAAUUAGAUGGCAGGAAAGUCUAUGAAGAGGAACCUCUACUUUACUUUUUACAAUGUGAAUGUAAUUAAUGACACAAAACUGUGUAUUUAAAAAUGGUUAAGGUGGGCCGGGCGCGGUGGCUCAUGCCUGUAAUCCCAGCACUUUGGGAGGCCGAGGCGG